rnacentral:rRNA from 1 species
AGCGAACGCUGGCGGCAGGCCUAACACAUGCAAGUCGAACGGACCCUUCGGGGUUAGUGGCGGACGGGUGAGUAAUACGUGGGAACGUGCCUUUAGGUUCGGAAUAGCUCCUGGAAACGGGUGGUAAUGCCGAAUGUGCCCUUCGGGGGAAAGAUUUAUCGCCUUUAGAGCGGCCCGCGUCUGAUUAGCUAGUUGGUGAGGUAAUGGCUCACCAAGGCGACGAUCAGUAGCUGGUCUGAGAGGAUGACCAGCCACAUUGGGACUGAGACACGGCCCAAACUCCUACGGGAGGCAGCAGUGGGGAAUCUUGCGCAAUGGGCGAAAGCCUGACGCAGCCAUGCCGCGUGGAUGAUGAAGGUCUUAGGAUUGUAAAAUCCUUUCACCGGUGAAGAUAAUGACUGUAGCCGGAGAAGAAGCCCCGGCUAACUUCGUGCCAGCAGCCGCGGUAA